rnacentral:sRNA from 1 species
GGGUGCGAUCAUACCAGACUAAUGCACCGAUCCAAUCAAAACUCCGCAGUUAAACGUGCUUGGCGAGAGUAGUACUAGGAUGAUUAACGUGUGCACCCU